rnacentral:rRNA from 1 species
GUGUCAGCAGCCGCGGUAAUACGGAGGGUGCAAGCGUUAUCCGGAUUCACUGGGUUUAAAGGGUGCGUAGGCGGGCAUUUAAGUCAGUGGUGAAAUACCUGAGCUUAACUUGGGAACUGCCAUUGAUACUAUUUGUCUUGAAUGUCGUGGAGGUUAGCGGAAUAUGUCAUGUAGCGGUGAAAUGCUUAGAUAUGACAUAGAACACCUAUUGCGAAGGCAGCUAACUACGCGAAUAUUGACGCUGAGGCACGAAAGCGUGGGGAUCAAACAGGAUUAGAUACCCUGGUAGUCC